rnacentral:rRNA from 1 species
CUUCGAGUGAGGCUCUGGGUCCACCUCCCACCCGUGUCUAUCGUACCUUGUUGCUUCGGCGGGCCCGCCGUUUCGACGGCCGCCGGGGAGGCCUUGCGCCCCCGGGCCCGCGCCCGCCGAAGACCCCAACAUGAACGCUGUUCUGAAAGUAUGCAGUCUGAGUUGAUUAUCGUAAUCAGUUAAAACUUUCAACAACGGAUCUCUUGGUUCCGGCAUCGAUGAAGAACGCAGCGAAAUGCGAUAAGUAAUGUGAAUUGCAGAAUUCAGUGAAUCAUCGAGUCUUUGAACGCACAUUGCGCCCCCUGGUAUUCCGGGGGGCAUGCCUGUCCGAGCGUCAUUGCUGCCCUCAAGCACGGCUUGUGUGUUGGGCCCCCGUCCCCCUCUCCCGGGGGACGGGCCCGAAAGGCAGCGGCGGCACCGCGUCCGGUCCUCGAGCGUAUGGGGCUUUGUCACCUGCUCUGUAGGCCCGGCCGGCGCCAGCCGACACCCAACUUUAUUUUUCUAAGGUUGACCUCGGAUCAGGUAGGGAUACCCGCUGAACUUAAGCAUAUCAAAAGCCGGGAAGAAAA